rnacentral:rRNA from 1 species
UACGGAGGGGGCCAGCGUUGUUCGGAAUUAUUGGGCGUAAAGGGCGCGUAGGCGGCCAUUCAAGUGACGGGUGAAAGCCCUCGGCUUAACCGAGGAACUGCCUGUCAGACUGGAUGGCUUGAGACCGGGAGAGGUGAGUGGAAUUCCCAGUGUAGCGGUGAAAUGCGUAGAUAUUGGGAGGAACACCAGUGGCGAAGGCGGCUCACUGGACCGGAACUGACGCUGAGGCGCGAAAGCGUGGGGAGCAAACAGG